CUCACGUGACGUCGACGCCGCGCGCCGGGCGACCCCGGGCUUAGCCUCCUGACAGGCGGGGGCCGCGGGCCGAGAGAAAUCACAAGUAGAUGGAGAGGCAGGCAGAGAGAGAGAGAGAGGGAAGCAGGCUCCCUGCUGAGCAGAGAGCCCGAUGCGGGACUCGAUGCCAGGACCCCGAGAUCAUGACCUGAGCCGAAGGCAGCGGCUUAACCCACUGAGCCACCCAGGCGCCCCGAGGGGUGACCAACUUUUAAAACAUGGCCCAGACACAUGUUUACCAGAGGUUACUUCAGUGCUUCACAAACCAGGAAACAAACUCAGCAAUGAGGAGGACUUAUUUUCAGCCCACUCAAAAGUUAAUCAGUGAGCCAGAUGAGAAAGCAGAUUUCCCAGUUGUGCAAUAGAGAGAGAGAAACAGCACAAGCAGGUGGAGGGGCAGAGGGAGAGGGAGAAGCAGACUCUCCGCUGAGCAGGAAGCCCAACGAGGGGCUCCAUCCCAGGACCCUGAGAUCAUGACCCGAGCUGAAGGCAGACGCUUCGCCGACUGAGCCACCCAGGUGCCCCCACUUAGCUUUGCUUAACGAGUUCACCAUGUGGUCUAAUUUAAUCUAGUUCCACAGGAUUCUAUAGUGGGAUUUGAAGCUUUUGUGAAAUUAAAUGUGCUGUUUAGCGCACCAUUGUUAACAUUCCCUAUUCAUGCUUCUUUGUGAAAAAUAAAUGUACAGUUUCUGUAAGAAAAUGUUCACGUUUUAAAAAACAAACCACCCUUUUCUCUAUGAAUCUCUUUGCGGUAUGUGCUGGGUAUUGCCAGUCACAAUUUGACUAUCAGUCAAAUUAUAAUUCCUAAAGAAUACUGUCUCACUGAGACUAUGGACUCUGAAAAACAAUCUGAGGGGUUUGAAG